UUCGCGCUCGUACCUGUUACAUUUUUCUACCGGUUCAUUGCUGCCGGUUGGGGUGGCAGCAGGGGUGGCAAGGGUUAAUUUUAGGGUGGCACCUGCCACCCCAUGCCACCCCAGUAGAUCCGCCCCUGGGCAGAAGUAAAAUAAGAGAUGUACAAAAAAAAAAUCUGGAAAAAAUAUUAAUCCAAUUUGAUUUUACAGCAGACAAAGAAGUUUUGGCCACUCAUCCAAGUUUUCUAGGAUGAUGCAAUGUUCAGCCAUCAACACAUUUGUGAAGUAAUUUUUUUCUCACCAAAAGAGCGCCCCCCCCAAGGCAGGAGAAAAAGUCAAGUUUUUCCUGCCCAUCGCUCAAUGGCUCAAACACACCACUCUCUCUGCAAAACCGAAAGGAGGAGAAACUUGCCAUUUGGAUAUAUACUAGCUGUGCCCUCACUCAUGGUCCAGACUUUUUUCAUAUAGGUCAUGAAGUUUGUCUGCAGCAAGUGUUUUGGUAGAAACUGCGCCUCCCAUUCAUUAUAAUGGUAAAUGACCACGGACAAGUGCGCACACCAUCUUUGGACCUUGAUAUAUUUUUGCAAUCCAAAUAUUUUUUAUUUCAUUUUUCUUUUUUUUUUGGUCUAACUAACUCAAAAAGCUUGGAAAAGAGUUCCUACAAAGGUUUUGGACAGUGAUUUUAACCCAAAUGCCAAAAACCUUAAACCUUACCAUAGCCCCAUAACGUAAUAUUAGGGUAUUACCUUCAGGAAGCCCAAACACCCCAAAUAUUUUUUUUUCAUUUUUAAUUUUUUUUUGGUCUAACUGACUCAAAAAGGUUGGAAAAGAGUUCCUACAAAGGUUUUGGACAGUGAUUUUAACCCUAUCGCCAAAAACCUUAAACCUUACCAUAGCCCCAUAAUCUAAUACCCGGGUAUUACCUUCAGGAAGCCCAAACACCCCAAAUAUUUUUUUUUCAUUUUUCUUUUUUUUUUUGGUCUAACUAACUCCAAAAGGUUGGAAAAGAGUUCCUACAAAGGUUUUGGACAAUAAUUUUAACCCUAACGCCAAAUAACUGAACCCUUACCAUAGCUCCAUAACCUAAUAACUGCAGGAAGCCCGAACACCCCAAAUAUUUUUUUUUCAUUUUACUUUUUUUUUUGGUGUAACCAACUCCAAAAGGUCUGAAACAUGUUCCUAAAAAGGUUUUGGACAGUUAGUUUAACCCUAUCGCCAAAAACCUUAAACCUUACCAUAGCCCCAUAACGUAAUAUUAGGGUAUUACCUUCAGGAAGCCCAAACACCCCAAAUAUUUUUUUUUCAUUUUUAAUUUUUUUUUGGUCUAACUGACUCAAAAAGGUUGGAAAAGAGUUCCUACAAAGGUUUUGGACAGUGAUUUUAACCCUAUCGCCAAAAACCUUAAACCUUACCAUAGCCCCAUAAUCUAAUACCCGGGUAUUACCUUCAGGAAGCCCGAACACCCCAAAUAAAUUUUUUUUAUUUUUUUUAUUUUUUAUUGGUCUAACUGACUCCAAAAGGUUGGAAAAGAGUUCCUACAAAGGUUUUGGACAGUGAUUUUAACCCUAACAACAAAAACCUUAAACCUUACCAUAGCCCCAUAACCUAAUAUUACCUUCAGGAAGCCCGAACACCCCAAAUAUUUUUUUUUCAUUUUACAUUUUUUUUUGGUGUACAAACUCCAAAAGGUCUGAAACGUGUUCCUAAAAAGGUUUUGGACAGUGAUUUUAACCCUAACGCCAAAAACCUUAAACCUUUCCUAAGCCCCAUAACCUAAUACCCGGGUAUUACCUUCAGGAAGCCCGAACACCCCAAAUAUUUUUUUUUUUUUUUUUUUUAAAUUUUUUUUGGUCAUACUGACUCCAAAAGGUUGGAAAAGAGUUCCUACAAAGGUUUUGGACAGUGAUUUUAACCCUAACGCCAAAAACCUUAAACCUUACCAUAGUCCCAUAACCUGAUACCCGGGUAUUACCUUCAGGAAGCCCGAACACCCUAAAUAUUUUUUUUUCAUUUUACAUUUUUUUUUUUGGUGUACAAACUCCAAAAGGUCUGAAACAUGUUCCUAAAAGGUUUUGGACAGUGAUUUUAACCCUAAUGCCAAAAACAUCAAACCUUACCCUAGCCCCAAAACCUAAUACCCGGGUAUUACCUUCAGGAAGCCUGAACACCCCAAAUAUUUUUUUUUCGUUUUUCUUUUUUUUUUGGUCUACCUAACUCCAAAAGGUUGGAAAAGAGUUCCUACAAAGGUUUUUGGACAGUAAUUUUAACCCUAACGCCAAAAACCUUAAACCUUUCCUAUUCCUAUUACCUUCAGGAAGCCCGAACACCCCAAAUAUUUUUUUUUCAUUUUUCUUGGAAAAGGGUUCCUACAAAGGUUUUUGGACAGUGAUUUUAACCCUAACGCCAAAAACCUUAAACCUUUCCAAUUUCCUAUUACCUUCAGGAAGCCCGAACACCCCAAAUAUUUUUUUUUUAUUUUUCUUUUUUUUUUGGUCUAACGAACUCCAUAAGGUUGGAAAAGAGUUCCUACAAAGGUUUUGGACAGUUAUUUUCACCCUAACUUCAAAAACCUUAAACCUUACUAUAGCCCCAUAACCUAAUACCCGGGUAUUACCUUCAGGAAGCCUGAACACCCCAAAUAUUUUUUUUUCAUUUUACUUUUUUUUUUUGGUUUAACCAACUGCAAAAGAUCUGAAACAUGUUCCUAAAAAGGUUUUGGACAGUCAUUUUAACCCUAACGCCAAAAACCUGAAACCUUACCCUAGCCCCAAAACCUAAUACCCGGGUAUUACCUUCAGGAAGCCAGAAAACCCCAAAUAUUUUUUUUUCUUUUUUCUUUUUUUUUUGGUCUACCUAACUCCAAAAGGUUGGAAAAGAGUUCCUACAAAGGUUUUUGGACAGUGAUUUUAACCCUAACGCCAAAAACCUUAAACCUUUCCUAAGCCCCAUAACCUAAUACCCAGGUAUUACCUUCAGGAAGCCCGAAAACCCCAAAUAUUUUUUUUUCAUUUUUCUUUUUUUUUUGGUCUAACUAACUCCAAAAGGUUGGAAAAGAGUUCCUACAAAGGUUUUGGACAAUAAUUUUAACCCUAACGCCAAAAAACUGAACCCUUACCAUAGCCCCAUAACCUGGGUAUUACCUUCAGGAAGCCCGAACACCCCAAAUAUUUUUUUUUCAUUUUACAUUUUUUUUUGGUGUAACCAACUCCAAAAGGUCUGAAACAUGUUCCUAAAAAGGUUUUGGAAAGUUAUUUUAACCCUAUCGCCAAAAACCUUAAACCUUACCAUAGCCCCAUAACCUAAUACCCGGGUAUUACCUCCAGGAAGCCCGAAAACCCCAAAUAUUUUUUAUUCCUUUUUUCUUUUUUUUUUGGUCUAACUAACUCCAAAAGGUUGGAAAAGAGUUCCUACAAAGGUUUUGGACAGUGAUUUUAACCCUCACGCCAAAAACCUUAAACCCUUACCAUAGCCCCAUAAUCUAAUACCGGGGUAUUACCUUCAGGAAGCCCGAACACCCCAAAUUAUUAUUUUUUUCAUUUUACAUUUUUUUUUUGGUGUAACUGACUCCAAAAGGUUGGAAAAGAGUUCCUACAAAGGUUUUGGACAGUGAUUUUAACCCUCACGCCAAAAACCUUAAACCUUACCUUAGCCCCAAAAACUAAUACCCGCGUAUUACCUUCAGGAUGCCCGAACACCCCAAAUAUAUAUUUUUUAAUUUUUCAUGUUUUUUUGGUCUAACUAACUCCAAAAGCUUGGAAAAGAGUUCCCACAAAGGUUUUGGACAUUGAUUUUAACCCUAACGCCAAAAACCUAAAACCUUACCAUAGCCCCAUAACCUGAUACAUAAACUGCCUUCAGGAAGCCCGAACACCCCAAAUAUUUUUUUUUCAUUUUACUUUUUUAUUUUGGUGUACAAACUCCAAAAGGUCUGAAACAUGUUCCUAAAAAUGUUUUGGACAGUGAUUUUAACCCUAAUGCCAAAAACCUCAAACCUUACCCUAGCCCCAAAACCUAAUACCCGGGUAUUACCUUCAGGAAGCCCGAAAACCACAAAUAUUUUUUAUUCCUUUUUUUUUUUUUUUUUGGUCUAACUAACUCCAAAAGGUUGGAAAAGAGUUCCUACAAAGGUUUUGGACAGUGAUUUUAACCCUAACGCCAAAAACCUUAAAACUUACCAUAGCCCCAUAACCUAAUACCCGGGUAUUACCUUCAGGAAGCCCGAACACCCCAAAUAUUUUUUUUUCAUUUUACAUUUUUUUUAGUGUAACCAGCUCCAAAAGCUUGGAAAAGAGUUCCUACAAAGGUUUUGGACAGUGAUUUUAACCUUAACACCAAAAACCUUAAACCUAACCAUAGCCCCAUAAUUCAAUACCCGGGUAUUACCUUAAGAAAGCCCGAACACCCCAAAUAUAUAUAUAUAUUUUUUCAUCUUUUUUUUGGUCUAACGAACUCCGAAAUGUUGGAAAAGAGUUCCUACAAAGGUUUUGGACAGUGAUUUUAACCCUAAUGCCAAAAACACUAAAACUUUCAAUAGCCCCAUAACCUAAUACCCGGGUAUUACCUUCAGGAAGCCCAAAAACCACAAAUAUAUAUAUAUAUUUUUUCAUCUUUUUUUUGGUCUAACUAACUCCAAAAGGUUGGAAAAGAGUUCCUACAAAGGUUUUGGACAGUGAUUUUAACCCUAACGCCAAAAACCUUAACCCUUACCAUAGCCCCAUAAUCUAAUACCGGGGUAUCACCUUCAGGAAGCCCGAACACCCCAAAUUAUUUUUUUUUUUCAUUUUACUUUUUUUUUUUUUUGUGUGUAACCAACUCCAAAAGGUCUGAAACAUGUUCCUAAAAAGGUUCUGGACAGUGAUUUUAACCCUAAUACCAACCUUAAAUGUUUCCUAAUCCCCAUAGCCUAA